rnacentral:tRNA from 3 species
UGGGCUAUCGCCAAGCGGUUAAGGCACAGCACUUUGACUGCUGUAUCGUUGGUUCGAUUCCAACUAGCCCAG